GAUGAAGAACGCAGCGAAAUGCGAUAAGUAAUGCGAAUUGCAGAAUUCAGUGAAUCAUCGAAUCUUUGAACGCACAUUGCGCCCCCUGGUAUUCCGGGGGGCAUGCCUGUCCGAGCGUCAUUACAACCCUCAAGCUCAGCUUGGUAUUGGGCCCCGCCGACCCGGCGGGCCCUAAAGUCAGUGGCGGUGCCGUCCGGCUCCGAGCGUAGUAAUUCUUCUCGCUCUGGAGGUCCGGUCGUGUGCUCGCCAGCAACCCCCAAUUUUUUUCAGGUUGACCUCGGAUCAGGUAGGGAUACCCGCUGAACUUAAGCAUAUCAAUAAGCGGAGGA
rnacentral:misc_RNA from 1 species